AACGUAGGAGGCGAGCGUUAUCCGGAUUCACUGGGCGUAAAGCGCGCGUAGGCGGUUGGUUAAGUCGGACGUGAAAGCCCCUGGCUCAACUGGGGGAGGCCGUUCGAUACUGGCCGGCUUGAGGAUGAGAGAGGGGAGUGGAAUUCCCGGUGUAGCGGUGGAAUGCGUAGAGAUCGGGAGGAACACCAGUGGCGAAAGCGGCUCCCUGGCUCACCCCUGACGCUGAUAGCGCGAAAGCGUGGGGAGCAAACGGG
rnacentral:rRNA from 1 species